UCCCUGGUGGCUCAGAGGUUAAAGCGUCUGCCUGCAAUGCAGGAAAACUGGGUUCGAUCCCUGGGCUGGCAA
rnacentral:tRNA from 1 species